GAGGGUACAGCUCAAGCAAUAGAGCGCAUGCUUAGCAUGCACAAAGUCCUGGGUUCAAUCCCCAGUACCUCCC
rnacentral:tRNA from 1 species